UUCCAAAGUGUUGCAUUCAGUUCAGGGCAGCUACCUUGUUCUGUUAAUUAAACUUUGGGACAUAGAAAUGGUCUAGGGGAGAUGAUCAGAUAGAAAGUAUUAUUCUAUUCAUUUAACUCCCAGCCUACAAAA